rnacentral:rRNA from 1 species
UACAGAGGUCUCGAGCGUUGUUCGGAUUCAUUGGGCGUAAAGGGUGCGUAGGUGGCACUGUAAGUCGGGUGUGAAAUCCUGAGGCUUAACCUCGGAACUGCAUUCGAUACUGCGGUGCUUGAGGACUGGAGAGGAGACUGGAAUUCAUGGUGUAGCAGUGAAAUGCGUAGAGAUCAUGAGGAAGACCAGUGGCGAAGGCGGGUCUCUGGACAGUUCCUGACACUGAGGCACGAAGGCCAGGGGGAGCA